GUCUAAGGGGUGAGGAGAAUCUUGGAGUGAGAUUGCGAUUGGAGCUUGGAAGAAGAAGAUGACGAAGAUGAAGAUGAAGAAGAAGAAGAAGAAGAUAGGAUUGUUUAGUGAUGGAAGCAUUUUUUUGACACGUGACUCAUGUGGGGAGUUUAUGUCUGCACAUUACAGUCGAAGAUAUAUACACACACGAUUAUGCUCGAAAAAGUUCGUUGGCUGGAGCUCAAACGACAAAGUCAGCGUCGGCAUGAUCGGAAAGUCUUCCUGGCACGGCACGUGGUGGAUGCCUAAUGUGUACC